UUAAGUGAAGAGUUUGAUCCUGGCUCAGAUUGAACGCUGGCGGCAUGCCUAACACAUGCAAGUCGAACGGCAGCACAGCAGAGCUUGCUCUGUGGGUGGCGAGUGGCGGACGG
rnacentral:rRNA from 1 species